rnacentral:rRNA from 1 species
AAAAGUUAUUGUUUAUUUGAUAGUUGUUACUACAUGGAUAACCGUGGUAAUUCUGUGGCUAAUACAUGCCACUAAAACCCCGACUUUAUUGGAGGGGUGUAUUUAUUAGAUAAAAAAUCAAUGCCUUCGGGCCGUUUGAUGAAUCAUAAUAACUUCUCGAAGCCCAUGGCCUUGUGCCGGGGCUGGUUCAUUCAAAUUUCUGCCCUAUCAAGUUGUAUGUAGGAUAGAGGCCUACGUAGCUAGUUACGGGUGACGGGAAUUCGGGUUCGGUUCCGGAGAAAGGAGCCUUAAAAACGGCUACUACAUCCAAGGAAGGCAGCAGGCGCGUAAAUUACCCAAUCCUGACACAGGGAGGUAGUGACAAUAUAUAACGAUACAGGGCCCUUAAGGGUCUUGUAAUUGGAAUGAGUACAAUGUAAAUACCUUAACGAGGAACAAUUGGAGGGCAAGUCUGGUGCCAGCAGCCGCGGUAAUUCCAGCUCCAAUAGUGUAUAUUAAAGUUGUUGCAGUUAAAAAGCUCGUAGUUGAACCUUGGGCCUGGCAGGCGUGUCCGCCAUCUGGCGAGUACUAGUCGGCCGGGCCUUUCCUUCUGGCUAGUCGCAAGACGAACCGGGAUUUUUACUUUGAAAAAAUUAGAGUGUUCAAAGCAGGCCUUUGCUCGAAUAUAUUAGCAUGGUUUUAAUAGAAUAGGACGUUAUGGUUCUAUUAUGUUGGUUUCUAGGACCAUCGUAAUGAUUAAUAGGGACGGUCGGGGGCAUCAGUAUUCAGUUGUCAGAGGUGAAAUUCUUGGAUUUACUGAAGACUAACUACUGCGAAAGCAUUUGCCAAGGACGUUUUCAUUAAUCAAGAACGAAAGUUAGGGGAUCGAAGAUGAUCAGAUCGUCGUAGUCUUAACCAUAAACUAUGCCG